UGAAUAAAUCUUUGGGCCUGUGCGAGCAGGGACUUUGUGAGUGGGGCUGACCGGAUUGAGAAGAAGUCCUAAAUUCAUUUCCCAACAACCACAUGAAGGAUCACAACCAUAUCUGUACAGCUACAGUGUAUUGACGUACAAUUAAAUAAAUAAGUAAAUAAACAAACAAACAAAUAAAAUAAAUGUAAAAUGUACAUUGUCAAGACUGAUAUUUUUUAAUUUAAGUUGUUUUUUUUUAAAGCCUGGUUUUAUUUAUUUAUUUAUUUAUCUAUUUAUUUAUUUAUUUAUUUAUUAUAUGUAAGUACACUAUAGUGUGUCUUCAGACACUACAGAAGAGAGCAUCAGAUCUCAUUACAGAUGGUUGUGAGCCACCAUGUGGUUGCUGGGAAUUGAACUCAGGACCUUUGGAAGAGCAGUCUGCGCUCUUAACACUGAGCCAUCUCUCCAGCCCAAGACUGAUUUUUUUUUUUUAAGCAUUUAAAUAUUCCAAAGUAAAUACUUUUGGAAAUAAGUUUUGCCUCAGAGAUAUCUAAAUGUCUUAAGUGCUAGAAAUGUUAAAGAAAAGUAUGUAAACAACUAUUUCUAUUUAUUUCUACAUUUAAGUACAAAUUUUAUGGUGUAUUUUUCAGGGUUUUUUUUUUUUUUUUUUUUUUUUUUUUGUAGUGGAUAGUUUUACUGUCAUAAAACCAAUGGAGGUAAAUUAACUAAUUUGCCUUACUUAGCUCUUCUGGUGAAAGUUUAAACACAUGAAGUUUAGUAUUAAUAUAUAUUAUCAUUACAUGUGAUUUAAAAUCUACUCUUUAAGUCAUUAUCAUUUCACAAUUGACAGUAUGCUCAAUCUAACUAGCAUAGUAUAGGUUGUAUAUGAUAGAGCUUCCAUAGUUGUUCAUUUAACCCUAUAUUGAAUAUAUAUUUUUUUUUUGCUUAAAUCUCUACAUUUCUCUGUUUAAUUACCAUUUUAGGGACUGCCUGUACAGUAAUGUAGCGUGGCGUGGAAGGCUGAGUGCUUGAGAUGACGAGAAGGCGAGCGUCCUGCAGGUCUGCGCCUUUGCCUGCUGCCUAGGGUGCAGCUUUGGCUUUUGUGCUGUGUCUCACAGAUGGGGUCAGAGCCGCUGUAGACUGGGCUGUGGGGACUUGAUACAGUUGAGAAAAGUUGGAGGGGGUUAAUCAUGGCUUAUCACAAGACUACUAAGUAUAUAACACAAAUUAUAUUGCUUUUUGUAAUUUUCAGUUUUUAAUGUAAGAUUUGAAUUUGUGCUUUGUUAGUAAUGCUCUAGGUACCUGCUAGUUCUUAGGAAGAUAGUCAUCACUGUGUGGUAUUUGGUCUCGGACCUCACAUGACCCUUUAUUUAUCCCAGUGUGCUGUGGUUGUUGACCAUGGCAAUGUCAGUAAUGCUGUGUAGGAUUCUAAUUCUUCUCUUGUUUAGGGAAGAGACAUGCCAACAACAAGAAGAAAACAACAAGAAGAAAAAAACCCAGUAUUUUGUACUUUUACGUAGUCAAGAACAGUUUACCCAGAAAGUGGUAGUUGUAUAGCCACCAUUCUAUAGUAUAAGACACAUUCGACCGCUACACCUGAGAGUCAUUCUGUCAGCUCAAGCUUUCAAAAUGAUGCUUUAACCCUGCAUGGACAUUUGUACCUCCCCUUUCCACCACACAGAGGAGAUCUGGCUUCUGGUCUGUUCACUGUGCUGGCUGGAAGACAGUGUCUCUCAUGCCUACAAACUAGAAUGAGUUUCAAGCUGGCAGUAGCUA
rnacentral:lncRNA from 1 species